CCUACGGGGGGCUGCAGUAAGGAAUAUUGGUCAAUGGACGAAAGUCUGAACCAGCCAUCCCGCGUGCAGGAUGAAAGCCCUAUGGGUUGUAAACUGCUUUUAGCAGAGAAGAAAAGCUUUCAUUAAUGAGAGUCUGACGGUAUCUGCAGAUUAAGCACCGGCUAACUACGUGCCAGCAGCCGCGGUAAUACGGAGGGUGCGAGCGUUAUCCGGAAUAACUGGGUUGAAGGGGUGCGUGUAAGGAGGUGUUGAAAUCUUGUCGCUUAACGAUAAAAUUGCCAAUGAGACUGGUACUCUUGAAUUGGGUUGAGGUUAGCGGAAUGUGACAUGUAGCGGUGAAAUGCAUAGAUAUGUCAUGGAACACCAGUUGCGAAGGCAGCUAACUGGGCCUUGAUUGACGCUGAGGCACGAAAGCGUGGGUAGCGAACAGGAUUAGAUACCCUAGUAGUC
rnacentral:rRNA from 1 species